GAUGAACGCUGGCGGCGUGCCUAAUACAUGCAAGUCGAGCGAACGGAUAAGGAGCUUGCUCCUUUGAAGUUAGCGGCGGACGGGUGAGUAACACGUGGGUAACCUACCUAUAAGACUGGAAUAACUUCGGGAAACCGGAGCUAAUGCCGGAUAACAUUUGGAACUGCAUGGUUCUAAAGUAAAAGAUGGUUUUGCUAUCACUUAUAGAUGGACCCGCGCCGUAUUAGCUAGUUGGUAAGGUAACGGCUUACCAAGGCAACGAUGCGUAGCCGACCUGAGAGGGUGAUCGGCCAAACUGGAACUGAGACACGGUCCAGACUCCUACGGGAGGCAGCAGUAGGGAAUCUUCCGCAAUGGACGAAAGUCUGACGGAGCAACGCCGCGUGAGUGAUGAAGGUUUUCGGAUCGUAAAACUCUGUUAUUAGGGAAGAACAAAUGUGUAAGUAACUGUGCACAUCUUGACGGUACCUAAUCAGAAAGCCACGGCUAACUACGUGCCAGCCGCCGCGGUAA
rnacentral:rRNA from 1 species